rnacentral:lncRNA from 1 species
GCGGGGGAUGCCGCAAAGAUGGUCUCGCCCAACCGUGGGGCCAGGCACCCUCCUCCCCCCCCCCCCCGGUUCAAGUUUCUGUGCCGGGGACGCGGCCUGGGCCAAUCCCAGGACUACAAGGCGGUUUUAAAAUGCAGCUCCUACUACAGAGAAGAGAUGGAGACCACUUAAGACUCAUCCCAGGCCUCUGGGACACCGUCCUACCAGCUGCCCCUUCUCUGGGCCUGGAGGUCAAAGUCCCAGCUGUAGAAUCAGGUAAUCUAGUGGCUGCAACAUCCCAGGGCUGGCCCCUCGAGGUCCCAACAGGACAGGAGCCUGGGAUGGGUCUGGAGUUGGGGACAGAGAGAGGCCAAAGUCCUCCUCCUGCUGUAGUCACAGUUAUGGGUUCUGAGCACUUAACAGCAGCCAAAGGUCCCCUUUCCAUUGCUCGCCUCUUCCCUGCAUGCGUCCAUGCUGAGGUGACAGGACACCAGAGCUCCCCGAUCAGAAAUACCUGCCCUUGGUCUCUCCUUUGGUCACAGGCACAAACAGUGCUUGUCUCAGGUCUGCUUUCUGAAGCCCUCUCCACCUGGGCCCAGGCAGUAGUGGGAGUGAGUGCAGUUAGGACUGAAUUGACCACAAGUGGACAGGGCUUCAGUGUCUCUGAGGUCAAGCUGGGUUUUGUGGAGGAGACAGGGGAGGCCCUCAGGAGGACAGGCUGCCCCUAAUUCUGUAGGCAGAGGUGGGGAAGCUGCCAGACUGUGAAGUGCUAGGGAAGGGUGCAUGGGCAGAGUGGAAGCCGUGAGAGGCGGCUGAGACUGGCUGGGUGACAAGCCCUAGGUGAACUGAGGCUUGGGAGAUGCCAGGCUAGCACAGUCUUGCAGGGGGAGUCGCCUAAGCAGGCACAGCCCAGGUCUCCAGGCAAUGCGUGCAAUCCCCAGGUACUGAGGACAUGGCACAGGAUGGGAUGGGAUGGGACAGGGAUUUGUAUGGAGACAGUUUUCUGUACUACAUAAAAAUAACUACAAAGAUUACGAAGAACAACUAAACUAUUUCCCUCUUCAAAAGAGCUGAGUGGGAGUGCACUCAGUAUUCCCAACUUCUUGGCUCCAAACUUCCAGACUAUCCUAUGCCCCCACUCCCCCACCCUUCAUGGCCCAUCUCUGCCUUCUGAUUGCUGUCUCUAAGGCUGCAGCAUUUAAUGGGUCCCCUUUAACUCUCCUCCUUUCUGAGCCUCCGUCUCCCUGCAGUUAAGGAGUGCACAUAUCUGCCGGACUACUGUGGAGAAUAGCAGGAGGGUGCAGGUGCUUCUUAGAUGCAGAUCCCAGUGGGCCUCCAUUUCUCCUCUGUUUGUCCUGGUCACCUCUGGACUGUGGCUUGGUUACCAGCAAGGCCAGGUGACACCAAGGAGCCCCCUAGUGGCCUGAGGAGUUGCUGCAGCCGGUUAUCCCAGCCUGCCAACUUCCCGGCCUCUGCAGAAAGAAGACCUUUGCUUUACACGCACAGACACCUAAUAUUGUCAGGCCACUCAGCACUUAUUUUUCUGUGAAAUGAGCAAGAAGAAGAACACAAAAAUCAUCUGGAUAUGGAAUUUUUUUUUUUGGAAGGGAGGCAUUGAGACAGGGUCUCUCUACAUAGCCCUGGCUGUCCUGGAACUCACGAUGUAAGGCAGGUCAGGCUGGCCUUAAACUCUUAUGUCUUUACUCAGGGGUUUAUAUGAGGGAUCCUGGACACCUGUGCAGAGGUGACAGGGUCAGAGGGACCCACUUUUCCUGGAUUCAGGUAUAUACUUUGUGUGUGUGUGUGUGUGUGUGUGUGUGUGUGUGUGUGUGUGUUUGCUUGCAUGUGGCUUUGUGUGUGUUCAUGUGUGUUUGCAUGUAUUGGCGUCCUGAGGUCAACCUCAGGCAUCCUUCAGGAACCACCCAACUCAUUUCCCCCACCCUUAAGUAUAUAUUUUAAAAAAACUACAUGUAUGUACUUCUCUGUGUGGGUAUGGACUUCUGUGUGGGGUUCAGAAGAGGGCAUCAUAUCUCCUGGAACUAGAAGUUACAUGUGGUUGUCAGCUGAUAUAGGUUCUGGGAACUGAACACAGGCCCUCUGAAAGAACAGUAUGCACUCUCCACUGCUGAACCAACUCUCCAACCCCAACCUUGUUUUUCAAGACAGAGUCACUCGCUGAACCUAGAGCUUACUGAUUAGACCAGACUGGCUGGCCUCCGGGAUCCCUCUGUCUCUGUCUCCCCAGCACUAGGACUAUAAGUACACACGCUUUUUAUGUGAUACCAAGGGAUCUAACCCAGUAAGUUCUUUACUGACUGAACAGUAGCCCCGGCUGUCCUGGAACUCACUAUGUAGACCAGGGUAAUCUUGAACUCACAGAGGUGUGCCUACCUCUGCCUCCCAAGUGCUGGGAUUAAAGGUGGGAAUAAACCCCUUUACUCCAGGAUUUGAACUUCA